CAGCAGCCGCGGUAACACAGAGGGUGCGAGCGUUAAUCGGAUUUACUGGGCGUAAAGCGUGCGUAGGCGGCUUUUUAAGUCGGAUGUGAAAUCCCUGAGCUUAACUUAGGAAUUGCAUUCGAUACUGGGAAGCUAGAGUAUGGGAGAGGAUGGUAGAAUUCCAGGUGUAGCGGUGAAAUGCGUAGAGAUCUGGAGGAAUACCGAUGGCGAAGGCAGCCAUCUGGCCUAAUACUGACGCUGAGGUACGAAAGCAUGGGGAGCAAACAGGAUUAGAUACCCCCGUAGUCCCUGUCUCUUAUAA
rnacentral:rRNA from 1 species